AGUCUUAUAUUCAAUAAAUGAUUAUAGAAUGCAAUACUAUAGGAGUGGUUUAUAAAUCACUAAGGCUU
rnacentral:tRNA from 1 species